rnacentral:rRNA from 1 species
AACGAACGCUGGCGGCAGGCCUAACACAUGCAAGUCGAGCGCGCCCUUCGGGGUGAGCGGCGGGCGGGUGAGUAACGCGUGGGAACGUGCCCUUCUCUGCGGAAUAGCCUCGGGAAACUGAGAGUAAUACCGCAUACGCCCUUUGGGGGAAAGAUUUAUCGGAGAAGGAUCGGCCCGCGUUGGAUUAGGUAGUUGGUGGGGUAAUGGCCCACCAAGCCGACGAUCCAUAGCUGGUUUGAGAGGAUGAUCAGCCACACUGGGACUGAGACACGGCCCAGCCUCCUACGGGAGGCAGCAGUGGGGAAUCUUAGACAAUGGGGGCAACCCUGAUCUAGCCAUGCCGCGUGAGUGAUGAAGGCCUUAGGGUUGUAAAGCUCUUUCAGCUGGGAAGAUAAUGACGGUACCAGCAGAAGAAGCCCCGGCUAACUCCGUG